AUUUACAUGACGCUGAUAAUGACGCCAUUGUGUCUGUCUGUAAGACAUAUUACCAGACAGCAGCAGGAGCUUCAGCUAGAAACAACCAGAUGUGACAUCGCGGGCAGAAGCUGUGAAGAGCUCAGCUCGGAGUCGGUCGAGAAGAAAAGAGGCUGCUGGAAGCGAGACAGAGUGUGCUGGCUGCGGGUGAGGUGACAUUUGGAAGUGCGCCACCAUAGACCUACAGGACAACGACCACAGACGUCUGCUAAAUGGACCGAAUCAGACCGAAUGCUGCUGGUUACCUCCAGCUCUGAGCCGGCCAUGGGUUAGAUGUGGACGGUGCUGCUUCUCGUGAGCGAGAGAUAUUUGUUGUGUGUGCUGUGUGUCUCCGAUGCUUUGGACAUAGUUUUUUUCUG